CCUACGGGAGGCAGCAGUGAGGAAUAUUGGACAAUGGGCGCAAGCCUGAUCCAGCCAUGCCGCGUGCAGGAAGAAGCAUCUAUGGUGUGUAAACUGCUUUUGUACAGGAAGAAACACUCCCUCGUGAGGGAGCUUGACGGUACUGUAAGAAUAAGGACCGGCUAACUCCGUGCCAGCAGCCGCGGUAAUACGGAGGGUCCGAGCGUUAUCCGGAAUCAUUGGGUUUAAAGGGUCCGUAGGCGGUUUAAUAAGUCAGUGGUGAAAUCUGGUCGCUCAACGAUCAAACGGCCAUUGAUACUGUUAGACUUGAAUUAUAAGGAAGUAACUAGAAUAUGUAGUGUAGCGGUGAAAUGCUUAGAUAUUACAUGGAAUACCAAUUGCGAAGGCAGGUUACUACUUAUGGAUUGACGCUGAUGGACGAAAGCGUGGGGAGCGAACAGGAUUAGAUACCCUGGUAGUCCACGCCGUAAACGAUGGAUACUAGCUGUUCGGAGCAAUCUGAGUGGCUAAGCGAAAGUGAUAAGUAUCCCACCUGGGGAGUACGUUCGCAAGAAUGAAACUCAAAGGAAUUAGACGG
rnacentral:rRNA from 1 species